UACGAAGGGGCUAGCGUUGUUCGGAUUUACUGGGCGUAAAGCGCAUGCAGGCGGAUCGUUAAGUCGGGGGUGAAAGCCCGAGGCUCAACCUCGGAACUGCCUUCGAUACUGGCGAUCUUGAGUCCGGGGAGAGGUGAGUGGAACUCCGAGUGUAGAGGUGAAAUUCGUAGAUAUUCGGAAGAACACCAGUGGCGAAGGCGGCUCACUGGCCCGGUACUGACGCUGAGAUGCGAAAGCGUGGGGAGCAAACAGG
rnacentral:rRNA from 1 species